UCCCUGAUAGCUUGGUUGGUAAAGAAUCCGCCUGCAAUGCAGGAGAUCCCGGUUCGAAUCCUGGGUUGGGAA
rfam:TPA: Bos taurus chromosome 5, whole genome shotgun sequence.